rnacentral:rRNA from 1 species
UACGAAGGGGGCUAGCGUUGCUCGGAAUCACUGGGCGUAAAGCGCACGUAGGCGGAUUGCUAAGUCAGGGGUGAAAUCCCGGGGCUCAACCUCGGAACUGCCUUUGAUACUGACAAUCUCGAGUCCGAUAGAGGUGGGUGGAAUUCCUAGUGUAGAGGUGAAAUUCGUAGAUAUUAGGAAGAACACCGGUGGCGAAGGCGGCCUUCUGGACGGUGACUGACGCUGAGACGCGAAAGCGUGGGGAGCAAACAGG